rnacentral:sRNA from 1 species
GCUGGGCGCCGUGGUGCAUGCCUGUAAUCCUAGCAUCUUGGGAGGCUGAGGAAGGAGGAUCACAAGUUUAAAGCUAGCCUCAUCAAUUUAGUGAGGCCCUAAGCAAUGUAGUGAGACCCUGUCUCAA